rnacentral:lncRNA from 1 species
AGCAGCUGCAGGGGGCUGCAGCGCCCGCCCAGCCUGCACCUUGUCGGGGUGCAGCCCAGGGCUUGAGGGGACCUCACCCAGCGCUCUGGUGGCUGCCAGUCCCUGUGUGCUCGGCUCCUCGAUGUCCUCGCAGAGGUCGGGCAGCUGCGAGAGGAAGUGCUUGAGGACAGAACUGCUGGGGACAGCGGCGAAGGCGUCCUGGGGCUCCACGGCAUCCAGGCAGCUGAGCAGCUCCUCCAAGCCGGAGCUGUCCAGGUCCGCCGGGAGCUGGUCCUGCACGUGCUGCAGCUGCUGGCUGUCCCCUGCCAGCUGGGGAAAGGCCUCGGCGAAGGCAUCGGGGCCCAGCUCCAGCAGCUCCAGGGGCUCCUCAGGCACCUCUGCAAGUGUCGCCGCUGAGGAAAAAGCAAGCCAAUGCAAUCCCCCAGGCAUCCCCCGAUGCCAGCUUUGCCAUGGCUCCUGGGUGUGGGGCGCUCAGCGGCCGGCUGGGCCAGCCCCAAACUCACCGUCGGGCGACGCCGUUUGGGUGCUGGCGGUCCUUGGAGCCUGGGCAGGCUCAGGGGGAGUGGGGCCGGGCAGCGGGGGCCCCUGGUCCUCACUGAGCCCCACGGCGUGCAAGCAGGGCUCCGGCAGCUGCCCCCGGCUGCUGCUCAGGGUGCGGGGCGCGGGGAGCACCUGCCCCCGCAGUGGAGGCCCCGGCACAAGGAGUGGGGGGGGGGGCUGGGGUGGGCAGGAGCCUGCAGCAGGCAGGUGCCUGCAGAGUGCAGGAGCUCCCCUUGGAGCACAGCCCUGGGCCCCAAGCAGAGGGGAUCCUGGGGCACCAGCGUCUCCGUCAGCAGGGGCUGUCCACACUGAGAGACACUGGGGGCACAGGGAGGAGCGGUGUGGGGGAGCUGCCCCACAGCAGGGAGCUGUCCCACGGCGGAGAGCUGCCCAAGCUGCAGGUGGUGGCCCUCAGCUGGGAGGUGCCCCCCAGGUGGCAGCUGCACCCCAGUGGGGGGGCUGCAGCACCUGCCCCUGGAGCCCCGGCACCACGUGCCAGGCGGUGGCCUGGGGCAGCGCGGAGGGGAGGGUGGGUACCUGCAGGGGCUGCAAGGGCACCGCCGUCGCUCCGGGGAGGGAGGGCAGCAGCCAGGCAGCCACCGUUGGCGGCACGGCUGCGACGACGAAGGGGGAGUUUUGCCUCUGCGCAACCCGCGGAAGCCAUCUGGGGAAACCCUCUGUGGGAAAAAGGGCGCUGGGCUGAGCUCUGGGGCGCUGGGCUCGCCAGCAGGGCCACAGCCCCGGGAGGAGCGGGAGCCGGCUGCUGGACCUGCCAUGGUGGCUGGAGAGUGGGGCGGUUGCUUGGGGAACCCGCGCAAUGGGGGUUCCAUCCCAACGGCUGACCAGCCCCUCGCCGACAUCUUGGGGAGGACUGCAGGCUUCGGACCCAAGCAGGCUGCCCAGCGCAAGACUUGGCCAUCCCCAGCAGGCUUGCCCUCCCAUGCAGCACUUGCCAUGUCCAUGAUGCUUCCA